UCAAAAUGUCGAUGGAAACCUCAUCUUCGUGGUGGAAACGUCGAAGUUUUCGAAGCAUCGAUGUAUCGUUUGCAACCCUAGCAGAGGAGCAGGAGCAGCAGCACUGCAGCAGGCAGUAGCGUAUGGCGACCGUGGAAUCCUGUUGGGCUGUGAAGUGCUGGGUGUGUUGUUUUACUGUACGUCUCUUUCGCCACCGCGUAGUAUUUGCUUUGCGUCAGACCAUGGAGAGUAAGUGCUGUGUACCAGGCUGUACUGGCUGCUACCAAAUUGGCGAAAAGAUAUGUCUUAAAAUUUGCAAAAGACGCCGGACUGAGGAUGAAAAAACUCUUGCUAUUGCACUCGAGAACUUUCCACUAGAACAUUCUGAGACAGAUUUAUGAAGAAAACUGAAGCCUGAAUGAUCCCAUUCUCGAAAAUACUGCAGAUACCUGGAAAGGAGUAACAGUUCCUUUGGAAAAACCUGGAUUGAAGGAAGGUGUCUUGUUGUAUUAGUUACCGAACUGUACCAGUUAUUUGAAUUGAACAAAAGAUGUGCAACGGGUACCCCAAGUCAAAGAAAACAAGGGAUGGAAGGUGGUGGUUAUGGGUUGAGAAUGACUAUAUCGGAAAGCAUAGAAACAGCUUCUGCAAAAAGGUGAAAAAUUCGGUUUUCACGGUUAUGAUGAAUUUGUGAGAGAAACUGAAAAUGUUACAGGGAGUGAAGUGAAGUGAGAAAAUAAUAUGUACCGAACGUGUACCUGAAUUUUGAGACAGCUCCACCUGAUAUUAGAUUCCUAAGUUUGCCCGAGCCUCAGUGUUAAACUGUGUAUUCCCUAGGGACUUAGUAGUGUAAUUAAAGUUGAAAGUGUUUUGAAGUUAUGUAGAGAUUUAAUUAGUGACAGAGAAAUGAUUUGCACAAGCCAUUCCUUCCUUCUUGAAAUUUUAGCAGUUACAGAAGGUUUUGAAGAUGUCUAGUUUCGUCAUUUUACCAUAUCCAAAUUCAUUAAGGGAAGAAAGCUGUAAUAAAAAUGUGAACCUAAGGAAUCCUAAACCACAUGAACUAUUUGUGAUGUCUGCUAGAUGAGAUUCACAUCAAGCUGUAUGUAGAUUUUAAGGCAGAUGAUGAUACUGGAAUUACUUUAGAUACUGUUGAUAUACCAUUAUUGAAAGCAUUCUUUAUUCCUAUAAAAAUGUUGUGUAUGCAUUGGCUCUGAAGAAGCUGCAAAAAGCUUGUUUAAACUAGCAGUAGGUGUAGAAGCUGAUGGGUUUCAGACUCUUUCAAUUGUUGCAGAUGAUGAUCCAUUAAUAGGUUUGCAAAUCCAAUGCAAGCAGAUUUUGUGUACCCAUCCUGCAGAUAGUAAAAGAUCUAUUUUUUCUACAUAACAGUAUUCAUGGUUCUAAGUGUGUGUGAGGCAACUGAAUAAAUGUGAAGAAACAGUCA